UGCGUAGGUGGUCUUGUAAGUCAGAAGUGAAAGGCUACGGCUUAACCGUAGUAAGCUUUUGAAACUGCAGGACUUGAGUGCAGGAGAGGAAAGUGGAAUUCCUAGUGUAGCGGUGAAAUGCGUAGAUAUUAGGAGGAACACCAGUGGCGAAGGCGACUUUCUGGACUGUUACUGACACUGAGGCACGAAAGCGUGGGGGGCGAACA
rnacentral:rRNA from 1 species